rnacentral:rRNA from 1 species
UGGGGAAUAUUGGACAAUGGGCGCAAGCCUGAUCCAGCCAUGCCGCGUGUGUGAUGAAGGCCUUAGGGUUGUAAAGCACUUUCGCCGAUGAAGAUAAUGACGGUAGUCGGAGAAGAAGCCCCGGCUAACUUCGUGCCAGCAGCCGCGGUAAUACGAAGGGGGCAAGCGUUGUUCGGAUUUACUGGGCGUAAAGCGUACGUAGGCGGAUGAUUAAGUCAGGGGUGAAAUCCCGGGGCUCAACCUCGGAACUGCCUUUGAUACUGGUCGUCUUGAGUCCGGGAGAGGUGAGUGGAACUCCUAGUGUAGAGGUGAAAUUCGUAGAUAUUAGGAAGAACACCAGUGGCGAAGGCGGCUCACUGGCCCGGAACUGACGCUGAGGUACGAAAGCGUGGGGAGCAAACA